CUGGUGAAUAAUAAAAUUAGAUCAGCACUUCCACAUAGUCAAGAGUCUAUAUCUAGUGCAGGAAGAUUAUGAGUAGAAGCAACUUUGUUGUAGAAUGUACUAGGGAAGUGCAAAGUUUCCAUGAAUUUGCAGGACAUAUAAUUGUCUAAAACUUCCACUAAUUUGGUGCAACUGCUAUAUAAACUUUAUAUUUGAGAAAAAGGAGUAAUAGUAUGCAAGCAUAAAUUGUAGAACCUUAGAUUAGAGACUACUUACAAGUGCCCUUGAAGGCAUUAGGCAUCUCAUCAUUCAUCUUUCUCUGGCACAUUUUCUUCCAAAAACGAUUGAAUAGUUCUCCAAUAGUGAUCACCUCCAGAGAUCCAUGUGUCCAUAUGCAU